CCUACGGGAGGCAGCAGUGGGGAAUAUUGCACAAUGGGGGGAACCCUGAUCCAGCAACGCCGCGUGAAUGAAGAAGGCCUUCGGGUUGUAAAGUUCUUUUAUCUGGGAGCAAACCGCUGAUGUUAACAGCAUGAGCGACUGAGAGUACCAGAAGAAUAAGCACCGGCUAACUACGUGCCAGCAGCCGCGGUAAU
rnacentral:rRNA from 1 species